UCCAGCUGUAGGCAAUGGCCUAGGUUGUCUUGUACCUAGGCAAGUGUUACACAGUUGGGAAAAAUACAGACAAUAGUUGGUGGGCAUCCUGGGACUAGUUAAUGCCAAAUUUGUGUUUACUUAUCAGUUUGCCAUCAUA
rnacentral:snoRNA from 1 species